UGUAUUGUGAUCCAUUCAUUGUUAUUGAUUGGUGGCCAUUGCCGCCAGACUUAAGCAGCCAAUAAAUUAAUUUUAUUUAAAAAAAAAAAAACCUAACCUCCGGGACCAUCGCAAAACCGUCACGAGCUUCGCUCGUGAGGUUUUGCUCGAUUGUCCUCCCGGGAAUUUGGCCACCGAUAACCAUUGUGUCAAUAUCUGAUCAGUUCAUUGCAUUAAUAUCAAAAAACAACAAAUAAACAUUCUCAAAACAA